CUACCCUUAAGUCGGGAAUAACUUGCCGAAAGGUGAAUUAAUACCUGAUAACACUGCAUAACUACUGUUGUGUAGUCAAAGAAGGCCUCUGCUUGCAAGCUUUCGCUGAAGGAUGAGUCCGCGUACCAUUAGCUAGUUGGUAGGGUAAUGGCCUACCAAGGUUAUGAUGGUUAGCUGGUCUGAGAGGAUGAUCAGCCACACUGGAACUGAAACACGGUCCAGACUCCUACGGGAGGCAGCAGUGAGGAAUAUUGCGCAAUGGGGGCAACCCUGACGCAGCAACGCCGCGUGAGUGAGGAAGGUUUUCGGAUUGUAAAGCUCUGUCGAGCGGAAAGAAAUGCAUGAUGGCUAAUAUCCAUCAUGCUUGACGGUACCGCUAAAGGAAGCACCGGCUAACUCCGUGCCAGCAGCCGCGGUAAUACGGGGGGUGCAAGCGUUGUUCGGAAUUAUUGGGCGUAAAGAGCGUGUAGGCGGCUUGACAAGUCAGAUGUGAAAGCCCUCGGCUUAACCGAGGAAGUGCAUUUGAUACUAAGUGACUUGAGUAUGGGAGAGGGAAGCGGAAUUCCUGGUGUAGCGGUGAAAUGCGUAGAUAUCAGGAGGAACACCGGUGGCGAAGGCGGCUUCCUGGACCAAUACUGACGCUGAGGC
rnacentral:rRNA from 1 species